rnacentral:misc_RNA from 1 species
AAGUCGUAACAAGGUUUCCGUAGGUGAACCUGCGGAAGGAUCAUUAAAAUAUAUUGACUACACUGUUUUUGAAGCAAACACAUACCAAUUUAAAUUUCAAUUUCUUUUAAAAAUCAAAACUUUCAACAACGGAUCUCUUGGUUCUC